rnacentral:rRNA from 1 species
AACUAUGGCCAUGCUACCCUGAAAACGUAGGAUCUUGUCUGAUCUCGUAAGCUAAGCAGGGUCAGGCUUGGUUAGUACUUGGAUGGGAAACCACCUAGAAAGACUGGGUGCUGUAGGCA